UACGAAGGGGGCUAGCGUUGCUCGGAAUCACUGGGCGUAAAGCGCACGUAGGCGGAUCGCUAAGUCAGGGGUGAAAUCCUGGAGCUCAACUCCAGAACUGCCUUUGAUACUGGCAAUCUCGAGUCCGGGAGAGGUGAGUGGAACUGCGAGUGUAGAGGUGAAAUUCGUAGAUAUUCGCAAGAACACCAGUGGCGAAGGCGGCUCACUGGCCCGGUACUGACGCUGAGGUGCGAAAGCGUGGGGAGCGAACGAGG
rnacentral:rRNA from 1 species